rnacentral:tRNA from 2 species
ACUUAAUUAGUUUAAAUUAAAAUUAUAAAUUGUGGAUUUAUAGAUGAAAAUUCAUUAAGUA